GAGUUUGAUCGUGGCUCAGAUUGAACGCUGGCGGCAGGCUUAACACAUGCAAGUCGAGCGGGGAGAUUGCUUCGGUAAUUGACCUAGCGGCGGACGGGUGAGUAAUACUUAGGAAUCUGCCUACUAAUGGGGACGAACAUCUCGAAAGGGAUGCUAAUACCGCAUACGCCCUACGGGGAAAGGACAGGGAGUCACUUGUGACCUUGCGUUAAUAGAUGAGCCUAAGUCGGAUUAGCUAGUUGG
rnacentral:rRNA from 1 species